AUGGCUUCGAGCUCAGAUCAUCCCCGGGAUCCCACUUCCGUCGCAGUUGAGGGCGUCGUAGCUUCCCGGCCCACGGUGGUGAUUCAACCCGAGCUGCUCAGAGCCGCGCGCCGUGGCGACUAUGAGGGGCUCAAGGUUCUGCUGCACCGAGAAAAUGGAGCUGUGGCGGCGACGAGAGAACAGAUCGUCGUCGAGGUUCGUGACAGUGUACCGUCCACCAGGGUGGUGGCGGUGGCAGAUCAGCCUCUGCCUGUUCCCUCCUCGUCUUCGACCCUCCUAGCCGGAGUGACGUUCCAGGGGGAUUCCGCUCUCCAUGUGGUGGCCGCGACCGGGGAUGGCCCAGGUUUCGUAAAGUGCGCGGGCUUGAUCUACCAGGAGGACAAGCACCUCCUGCACGGCCUCAACAAGAAUGGCGACACGCCGCUGCAUUGUGCUGCCAGGGCAGGGCACAGAGAGGUCCUCUCUAGCCUCAUUGCUCUGGCAGAACAGGAGGGCGGAGACGAGAGGGCCAAGGACGUCCUGACGAGACUCAACGGACGCCGGGAGACGGUCUUGCAUGACGCCGUCAGGCUUGCCGACGAGAAGCUCGUUUGCGAGUUGAUGUCAGCAUGCCCGUCCCUGGCCCGGUUCCCCGGGGACGGCACGUCGGCGUUGUACCUGGCCAUCUCGUUGGGACACGACCGCAUUGUGGACCUGCUGCACUCCGAGGACCCGGAGCUGUCAUAUUCAGGACCUGCGGGGCAAAAUGCCUUGCAUGCGGCUUCCCUACAUGGCAGAGAAAUGACAAAGAAGAUACUGGAAUGGAGCAACAAGGAGGGGAACAAUGCGAUCAUCGGACAUGCAGACGAAUCUGAGAGUACAGCGCUCCACUUUGCUGCCUCAGCGGAAGGCAGGGAGUUAGAAGAAGCGAGCAGUUUCUUCACUCGAUUCCUCUUUCGGCGGCCCAUGCACAAUUCUACAUCGAUACGUCUGCUACUGGAUGCUGACCAGUGUUCAGCAUGCCGGCCAGACAAAAGGGGGCAGUACCCUAUACACAUUGCCGCGUCGAUGGGCAAACUUGGGGUUGUGGCUCUCAUUCUUGACAAGUGCCCAGAGUGCGCCGGUCUGCGUGACGCCCGCGGGCGAACGUUUCUCCAUGUCGCCAUCGACAUGAGGUGGGAAAAAAUAGUGGACUACGCCACCAAGAACGAUACGUUCGCCUCCAUCCUGAAUAUGCAGGACAACAGUGGUGACACGGCGCUGCACUUAGCUGUCCAGGUUGGGGUGCUAAGGAUAUUCCGUAAUCUGUUACGGAAUAGGCAUGUAUCCUUGAAUCUGGCAAACCACAAGGGCCAAACACCAGCUGACCUCUCAAGGAGCACUAUUCCAGCUGGGCUUUACUACAAGACGAAUGCUCGGAUGUGGAUACUUUGGUCCCUGGUAAAAGCAAAUGCUCUCAACGGCAAUGACAGGCGCGAUCACUUCCAGGAAAAGCACAUUCUUAAGCUAGACGAGAGCAAAGAGUCGAAGAAAAUGACGGAGGCGGCCCAGAUGACUGGUAUUGGCUCUGUACUAGUUGCAACCAUGGCAUUUGCUGCAGCUUUCACCAUUCCUGGAGGUUAUAUAGCCAGUGAGCAAAAAAAUGGUGGCACGCCGACACUCGCUGGUUCUUAUGCUUUUGACGCAUUCAUGUAUGCUGUCGCGGUAGCAUUCAUCUGCUCCAUGCUUGCCACGUUCAGUCUCAUGUACUCAGGUAUGGCCACGGUUGACUGGAAGAUCAGAAACAAUUACUUCAAUGACUCCUUAGGCUGGAUGUGGAAUUCCACCAGAAGCUUGCUGGCCGCCUUCGCGCUGGGGGUAUACCUCGUCCUGGCGCCCGUAGCUAGUACCACUGCCGUUGGUGUUUGUAUUCUCACUUCGGGUACGCUACUCUUCAGAAAUAGGGAAGUCGGACGAAUCCUUAUUUGCACAUAUACGUUGCACAAGAGACUCGGAAUCUUCAUAUGGGUGAGACUUGCUACCAGGAUCCUCCCAAUUAUACUUCAAUCAUACUUUGUCUACAUUGUUAUCUUCGUUUCCCCGGAUCAUUGUAGUAGGGUUCUUACUUAUAUGUUUAUUUAUCCCAUCUAUCUAAAACGUAUUCUGUUCAAUCCUAAGAACACCAUCAUGCCCAGUGCCUUAUUUGUAGUGGUGGAUUAA
rnacentral:rRNA from 1 species